UCUAAACCAAGAAAAUGGUCGGUUCACCGAGUUUUGUCUUGUUGUAAUGGUCACGUUUUCUUUGCUAUAUUAAGGACAAAAUUUCGAAUCGGUGCUUUUUUUGUUUCUUUUUUUCUUAGCCACAAAGAUCAAUCCUUUCAACUAGUCAUGUGAAGCGUACGAUGAUCCGUUUACAGGGAGAAUCUAAACAGAGGACUCUAUGGUGAUCAAAGGGAGAUGUCUGGGUUCGUGGGUGUUGUCGUUUCGGAUCCAUGGUUACAGAGUCAGUUCACACGAGUCGAGCUUCGUACUCUCAAUUCCGAGUUUGUAUCGUUGAAGAAUUCAAGUGGAAACAUAACCAUAGAAGAUCUCCCUUCUCUAUUGUCAAAGUUAAAGUCAAUUAGUGCAACGUUUAAGGAGGACGAAAUCAGACAGAUACUGCAAGAACAUGCUUCUGAUAAUACAAGCAGUGAUGUGGGUUUUGAAGAGUUUCUCAAGGUAAUAUGGAGUUUCUUGGUGAACCAAGUUUCACAUUGACUAUGAAUGUUGUUAAUAUUGAGACACAGGACCUGGCUGAAGGACGGGUAUGUUUUGUCUGCUCACUGUUCAACACACAUUAACCAUUGUAAUUUACUUUUUUUACUUGAUCUAUUGGGUAAGCAAUGUUCUGACCAUAGAGGUUUUUAUGAUGUUUUGUAGACUCUGUUUUAGCUUCUAAACUUUAUGUUGCUUUUAUAACAUCUGAGGAUUCUGAGCUAAUUAGAAAUGUGAUUAUUUUUGUGAGGAUUGUUGAUGCUCAGGAAGUGGUAAAUCUGGAUUACACAAUGAUGUGGGAUUAAUUUAUUAUGAGUUUACUCUUGUUUCUUUUUAUCUUUGUCUGAUUCUUACAAUCGUGGAGCUGUUUUGUUCCUAAAGGAGGAGAUGCUUCUCACGAAAACAAGCCUUCUAAUGGGAAAAUAUCAGGUGAUUCCGCUACUCCAAAGCCGUUUGGUCUUAACACAGAUUGGAGAGAGUUCAGAGCAAACUUGUUUAUGAAAGAGCAGGUGAUAUCUUGAUACUUGAGGUUUGGCAUCAUCAACACAUUCUUGGGAAGUUAUGUUUAUGUAUGAGUCAAAUGUUUUAAUGGGAUUUUUGUGAUAAUUAAAAGAUGAAUUUUUGCAUUGGACCACAUAAAUGUUUGGAUUUCUUAAUGUUGUCUCUUAACUCACAUUUACUACUUAAAAAUAUUAAAAAAAAAACAAGAUAACCAUUCUCUUAGAAUUUGUUGGUUUUCAUCCACGUUCAGAAAAAAGGAAAAAUCAUGACAACGCAAAAAUUAAUCAGAAUACCAAGUAACGAAUUAAAACGAAUAUAUGGGACAACUUUUAUCUGACAAAACAAUAACUACACUAGGGUAACAUGAAUUUGCUAGAGAAUUUAUUAGCCGGCCAAAUAUUAUGCUUAUAACUCCGGAGAUCUUGUGAAUUAUAUAAUAAAAAUUAAAAUAUAAUGAAAAUUUAAACAAGUCAAACUUUGUAUAAUUUAAUUCAUGCAUUUAGCACAUGGAAAAAAAUAUAUUGAUGAAUGAUUUGGGUAUCGUAAGAAUAAAAGUGUUAGUACUAUUUAAAUAUCUAAAUUCUCCAGAAUAUUAUGAAAAUUUGUAAAAUAAAAGUAAAUAAGCUUUGAUGGGGUCUUUCAUGUUUUCCUCUGACUUUUUUCUUCCAGCUUCGUUUUCUGUGACCACAACGCGAAAAUCUGAUCCAAACAUGUUUAAAAUUGUAACAGAGAAGUGUCAUCUCUUUAUCAAGGAGUUUAGUGCCUUGACCGAUAAUGCAGAACAUGUUUUUUGGAGAUCAUUCACCAAAGAGGACCGUGCAAAAAAAUGCAUGUGGGUCGGUCGAUUCUAGUUUGCAGUUGAGGGGACUCGCAAACACGUUGCAAAGCAAAAUAUUUUCGUUGUUGACACGAAACAAAAAAAUUAAGAUCAUACUUGGGAUUUCUACAAAAGAAGAGGAUUAUUUAGUGGGCGCAAUUGCACUUCAUGAUGAAACGGCACUUCUUCGUCCUGUUUUCUAUGUUCCUAGGAUUUGCAAGGUGUUUCAUGGGGAUCAAAAUGAUGUUACUUGGCUACAAAGGGAUUUCCAUAUCUAUUUGGCCAAUCUCUUUGAUACCUACACGGUUUGUUUGGUAUUGGAAAAGCCUCAAAAGUCACUUAAGGGUUUACUACGAACUAUUUUCAAAGUAAACACGGACAAGUAAUACAUCUUCAAGACUGGACAAAACGACCACUCUCACAAAUUAUGUUGCGAUAUGCGAGAAGCGAUACACAAUAUUUGCUUGAGAUCACAAAUGUUUUGACAGCUGAGCUCAAAGAAGGUAAAAAGUAUGACGAGGCUAUUAGGCGGUCCAACAAAAUGUGUUUAACACUAUACACAAAAGGACAAGAAGAUUUCAAAUUAGUUAAAACAGGUUAAACUUUGUAUAAUUCAAUUCAUGCAAAAAUUAUAUUGAUGAAUGAUUUGGAUAUCGUAAGAAUAAAAGUGUUAGUACUAUAUAAUUAUCUAUUUUUUUUCCAAAAUA